UAACAUCCAGAUUCAAGGCAUAUCAACAGUUCACUUAUUUGGGGAGUCAAAUUUCCUAUCCCAGUGGCUUGAAUUGCGUGAGAUAGCAAGGGGCUGAAAUAACGGCGAGCUCUAGGGAUCAAUAAGUAGUAAACCUUGUAAAUCUCGUUAGACUAACAACCAUAUUAAUUAUGUCACAAGAAAAUGUUACCCACUGAUAAAGAUAGAAACUUAGAGAGGUUUUACUGAACUUUAUCUUUAUUUUCCACCCUCAUUACAGACACCCAUCAUCACCCUUUAUACAGAACAUACAAGACAAUCUAAACGUUAUACCACAGCUGUCAUCUGUGAGUCACACAGAGCAUCAAAUCUGUUACAAAGUUGGAGCUCCUCCUUUUCCGUACUCGAGCUCCUUCCUCCUCUCUGAACCGUUGCUCUGUCUUUUGUCUUGUUCUGUUCUUUCUGUGAUGGGCCUUUUGCUUCUUCUGUUUUACUCUGGCCCAUUUGACUGAUCUUCUUUAC
rnacentral:lncRNA from 1 species